UGGGGAAUUUUGGACAAUGGGGGGCAACCCUGAUCCAGCAAUGCCGCGUGAGUGAAGAAGGCCUUCGGGUUGUAAAGCUCUUUUGUCAGGGAAGAAACGGUAGUAGCGAAUAACUAUUACUAAUGACGGUACCUGAAGAAUAAGCACCGGCUAACUACGUGCCAGCAGCCGCGGUAAUACGUAGGGUGCAAGCGUUAAUCGGAAUUACUGGGCGUAAAGCGUGCGCAGGCGGUUGUGUAAGUCAGAUGUGAAAUCCCCGGGCUCAACCUGGGAAUUGCAUUUGAGACUGCACGGCUAGAGUGUGUCAGAGGGGGGUAGAAUUCCACGUGUAGCAGUGAAAUGCGUAGAUAUGUGGAGGAAUACCGAUGGCGAAGGCAGCCCCCUGGGAUAACACUGACGCUCAUGCACGAAAGCGUGGGGAGCAAACAGGAUUAGAUACCCUUGUAGUCCCUGAGCGGGCUGGCAAGGCGCAU
rnacentral:rRNA from 1 species